rnacentral:rRNA from 1 species
CACAGGAUUAGAUACCCUGGUAGUCCACGCCGUAAACGGUGGGUACUAGGUGUGGGUUUCCUUCCUUGGGAUCCGUUGCCGUAGCUAACGCAUUAAGUACCCCGCAUGGGGAGUACGGCCGCAAGGAUAUAACUCAAAGAAAUUGACGGGGGCCCGCACAAGCGGCGGAGCAUGUGGAUUAAUUCGAUGCAACGCGAAGAACCUUACCUGGGUUUGACAUGCACAGGACGACUGCAGAGAUGUGGUUUCCCUUGUGGCCUGUGUGCAGGUGGUGCAUGGCUGUCGUCAGCUCGUGUCGUGAGAUGUUGGGUUAAGUCCCGCAACGAGCGCAACCCUUGUCCUAUGUUGCCAGCGGGUUAUGCCGGGGACUCGUAGGAGACUGCCGGGGUCAACUCGGAGGAAGGUGGGGAUGACGUCAAGUCAUCAUGCCCUUUAUGUCCAGGGCUUCACACAUGCUACAAUGGCCGGUACAAAGGGCUGCGUAUGCCGUGAGGUGGAGCGAAUCCUUUCAAAGCCGGUCUCAGUUCGGAUCGGGGUCUGCAACUCGACCCGUGAAGUCGGAG